UACAGAGGGUGCAAGCGUUAAUCGGAAUUACUGGGCGUAAAGCGCGCGUAGGCGGCUUGACAAGUCGAGUGUGAAAUCCCCGGGCUUAACCUGGGAGCUGCAUUCGAAACUGUCUUGCUAGAGUAUGGGAGAGGGAAGUGGAAUUUCAGGUGUAGUGGUGAAAUGCGUAGAUAUCUGAAGGAACAUCAGUGGCGAAAGCGACUUCCUGGACCAAUACUGACGCUCAUGUGCGAAAGCGUGGGGAGCAAACAGG
rnacentral:rRNA from 1 species